rnacentral:rRNA from 1 species
UACGGAGGGUGCAAGCGUUGCUCGGAAUUAUUGGGCGUAAAGGGCAGGUAGGUGGUCUCGUUUGUCUGGGGUGAAAGCCUUGAGCUUAACUCAAGAAGUGCCCCAGAAACGGCGAGACUAGAGUACUGGAGAGGGUCGUGGAAUUCCCGGUGUAGCGGUGAAAUGCGUAGAUAUCGGAAGGAACACCAGUGGCGAAAGCGGCUUCCUGGUCCAGCACCGACGUUCAGGCACGAAAGCGUGGGGAGCAAACAGG